rnacentral:rRNA from 1 species
UGGGGAAUCUUGCGCAAUGGGCGAAAGCCUGACGCAGCAACGCCGCGUGCGGGAUGACAGCCUUCGUGGUUGUAAACCGCUUUCAGCAGGGACGAAAAUGACGGUACCUGCAGAAGAAGCUCCGGCUAACUACGUGCCAGCAGCCGCGGUAAUACGUAGGGAGCAAGCGUUGUCCGGAUUCAUUGGGCGUAAAGAGCUCGUAGGCGGUUCAGUAAGUCGGGUGUGAAAGCUCCGAGCUCAACUCGGAGAGGCCACCCGAUACUGCUGUGACUAGAGUCCAGUAGGGGAGCGUGGAAUUCCUGGUGUAGCGGUGAAAUGCGCAGAUAUCAGGAGGAACACCAGCGGCGAAGGCGGCGCUCUGGGCUGGAACUGACGCUGAGGAGCGAAAGCGUGGGUAGCAAACA